AUUGAACGCUGGCGGCAGGCCUAACACAUGCAAGUCGAGCGAGCGGCGGACGGGGGAGUAAUGUCUGGGAAACUGCCCGAUGGGGGGGGAUAACUCCUGGAAACGGUAGCUAAUACAGCAUACCAUCAGAUGUGCCCCGAUGGGAUUGGCUAGUAGGUGGGGUAACGGCUCACCUAGGCGACGAUCCCUAGCUGGUCUGAGAGGAUGACCAGCCAAACGGGAACUGAGACACGGUCCAGACUCCUACGGGAGGCAGCAGUGGGGAAUAUUGCACAAUGGGCGAAAGCCUGAUGCAGCCAUGCCGCGUGUGUGAAGAAGGCUUUCGGGUUGUAAAGCACUUUCAGCGGGGAGGCGUUACCCGCAGAAGAAGCACCGGCUAACUCCGUGCCAGCAGCCGCGGUAAUAC
rnacentral:rRNA from 1 species